rnacentral:sRNA from 1 species
AAAGCAGAAGGCAUGUGCACAAGUGCUGGUAGCAAAGCAUAAACAAAAAACAUAGAAGGUUAUUCCAAACACAUAUAUGUUGCCAAAGGAGUGAUAUAGCAGGAUUGGUUCUGGUACUACGAGAGAUUCCUGUCUAACUAGAAGGGAACCCUCUACUUUAGCCAUUCUGCUUUUGCAUAAUUGCAUGUGUCUUUGCCCCGUGACUGUUGUAAGCAUUACCAGGACGUUGCUUUUUUUUCUAUCAUGCAUGCAAUUCGUUCAGCAGUUUAACAUGUUAAUGCCUUUCAAUUUGUCUUUUCUUUUUCUUCGGAUCUAAUAAAGUUUCAUGCUUUCACUUUUAAUAAUUUCAUUUUGGAGUUUAUCAGUUUUGCAUGGAGUAUCAAGAGACAAUUUUUGAGCACCCGUGUAUACUAUGCAAGACAAUAGGUUUACAUAGUUUGGUACAGGCGACAAACCAUUCUGAUUCAAAAAAUUCCAUUGCAAUCAAAGUUCACAAGAAAUAGACAGAUUACUGAACACU